rnacentral:misc_RNA from 1 species
GAUGAAGAACGUAGCGAAAUGCGAUACGUAAUGUGAAUUGCAGAAUUCAGUGAAUCAUCGAAUCUUUGAACGCAUAUUGUGCUGUUUGGUACUCCGAAGAGCAUGCUUGUUUGAGUAUCAGUAAACACCUCAACCUCUUCUUGAUUUUUCAAAAGGAGGGUGGACUUGAGCUAUCCCAACAACCUUUACCGGUCGGCGGGCGGCUUGAAAUGCAGGUGCAGCUGGACUUUUAUCUGAGCUAAAAGCAUAUCUAUUUAGUCCUCGUCAAACAGGAUUAUUACUUUUGCUGCAGCUAACAUAAAGGAUAAUUGUCCUUUUUGCUGACUGAUGCAGGAUUUUACGACACUUUAUGUGUUGUUCAACUCGAUCUCAAAUCAAGUAAGACUACCCGCUGAACUUAAGCAUAUCAAUAAGCGGAGGA